AUAGUGUAGACAUACCCCAAGUCAAUUAGGACACCUGAGUCCAAUUAAGAGCUGCCUGAAACCUGUCAAAAUCUCUCUCCUGGUGAAGCGGGGAGAGACAAACUGCUGCAAGGCUGGAGGCAGCAGGGAGAUUGGCUUUUCCAGUGUUAGAGACUGUGCUCCUCCCUAUAGGCAAGACACCCAAAACCCAGUGCCUGUUUAGGGAAAGGACUGACACCCUGGGCCAGCGACAGGACAACACCUGUCCCAGUGAGGAGGCCAGGGAAAGGUAAUCUACCGAGCAGGCUUCCACAACACUCGAUAUUUAAGUGCCCUAACUAGAAGACCUGGCUCUCGGAACAGUUUGAGACACAAGAAAGGGCUGCAGAGACUGUCCAGAAGACAACCAGCACAUCAAGGAAACAAGAGGACACAUGCUACAACUAUUUUACUGGUCAACUUAUUACAGCAAUGUAAGCUUAUUUCAAUCAACACUGCAAAUUAAGUGCCUUGUAUCAAUAAUCAUUUUCAUCUGCAAAUUCAAAUGCUGGGAUUUUACUCAGAUUAAAAUAGCAUCUUGAUCUACUGAUAAUUCAUUUGUUCUUGGUCUAUCCCAGACUCUAAACAAUAAGCUACAGAAUGCCUAAUUGCGCUUACCCUGGAGAUCAUAAAAGAAGGGAGUGUUUUUAAGGUAUUCAGUCUUCCCAAUUCAAAUUUCUAGUAAUGACCCCACCAAUCAAUCCUUCCCAUGAAAAGUCUGGGACAGUGUGACUUUGCAGCAGAUCUCUGAAGUCACUAAAUCAUAGAAUCAUAGAAUAUCAGGGUUGGAAGGGACCUCAGGAGGUCAUCUAGUCCAACCCCCUGCUCAAAGCAGGACCAAUCCCCAAUCAAAUCAUCCCAGCCAGGGCUUUGUCAAGCCUGACCUUAAAA